AGUGAACGCUGGCGGUAGGCCUAACACAUGCAAGUCGAACGGCAGCACAGUAAGAGCUUGCUCUUACGGGUGGCGAGUGGCGGACGGGUGAGGAAUACAUCGGAAUCUACUUUUUCGUGGGGAUAACGUAGGGAAACUUACGCUAAUACCGCAUACGACCUACGGGUGAAAGCAGGGGAUCUUCGGACCUUGCGCGAUUGAAUGAGCCGAUGUCGGAUUAGCUAGUUGGCGGGGUAAAGGCCUACCAAGGCGACGAUCCGUAGCUGGUCUGAGAGGAUGAUCAGCCACACUGGAACUGAGACACGGUCCAGACUCCUACGGGAGGCAGCAGUGGGGAAUAUUGGACAAUGGGCGCAAGCCUGAUCCAGCCAUACCGCGUGGGUGAAGAAGGCCUUCGGGUUGUAAAGCCCUUUUGUUGGGAAAGAAAAGCAGCAGGUUAAUACCCCGCUGUUCUGACGGUACCCAAAGAAUAAGCACCGGCUAACUUCGUG
rnacentral:rRNA from 1 species